UAAAAGGUGGCUGAGAAACAAGCGUUAGAUUGUAAAUUUAAAAACGAAAAUUUUUUCCCUUUUAA
rnacentral:tRNA from 1 species